CGCCCGGGAGGCGGCGUAGUCCGCGCGGCGUCGCUGUCGCUUACGUCCGGCUCAGCGGGGUGCAGGUGCGUGGCGAGCUCCUGCAGCACCGCGGCGCGCCCGAUCUGGUCGUUGCGCCGCUUUUCCAUGAUCAGGUCCUCCAAGCUCUGGAACUCGAGCGUGUGGCUACGCUGCGCAGAGAGCUGGAUCUGCAGCCGGUAGGGCUGCUUACCGAUGCGCAGCUCGCCGCCGAUCUUGAAUUCGCGCUUGCCGUAGCGGCACCAGGCGGCGAAGCUCUCCGAGUUGCGCCAGCUCAGCUCGCGCUCCUUGGCGCCCACGUGCGCCAGCGCGUUGCGCACCACGGCGCUGGGGCUCAGCGGCUUGUAGCGGUACAGCUCGUUUACUACGCGGCCGCGCCGGCCCUGGCUCGCGUCCGUCAGGAAGCUGUUGCUCACCUCCAGCCGGUGCAAGUGCACCACCUGGAAGUUGCCCACGUAGACAGCCCAGUGCGGGUACUGCGCCUGCGACACGAACUCCACCAGGUCGCCAGGCCUGCACUUGUUGAGCAGGUUCUCGGGCGUGUAGGUGCUCAGCGCCGCGGAGCCCGGCGCGAAGCUUUUCUGGUAGAUGCACUCGUCGCGGUAGAACACGGAGCACUCCACCUCGUGCAGCCGCGGGUCAUAGGGCUGCGGCGAGGGCAGCGGCAGCCCGUCCCCGCCGUCAGGCAAACCGCCGCCACCGCCAUCCGGCCCCUGGGGCGGCGGCUGCGGCUCCACGUCCUCGUCGUCAUUGGAGAAGAUGUAGGAGACCCCGAUGCGGGGCCCGUCGUCCCGGUCCACGCCCGUCGGGUCGGCAGUGGGAACUUCCUUAUAACUUAGAACCGAUUUCUUGCCAAAGGUCACAGAAGAGAAUUUUGUACUAGGACAGCUGGAGAAGUGCUUCCGUUUAGAGGUAACAAGCAGUUGGGGGACCAGCAGAGGUACUCACUUUUCAGGGCUGGAUCAGGCCAACCCUUGCUUCUCCAAGGGUGGUUACCAACAGGCAGUAUGGGCCUCACGCCGGAGGGAGCUGAGCUUGCUGGAAAUGCAGGAUCUCAGACGCCACCCCCGAUUGGCUGAACCAGGAUUUGCAGUUUAACAAGAUCACCAGGUGAUUCUGAUAAAAGCCAGCAUGUCCUCUAGUGAGACUGACAAUUUUGUGAGCACAGAGCCGGGAAAAGGCAGCAAACCAAAGUGAACAGUCAGCUAAGUAGAGUUUGCUGGAGAUUUACGCAGAAACCUACCCACAGAAGCAGGGCUGAUGGAUUUAUAACAGGGGCGGGAUAAUUUGUUCUUGUGUGCGAAGAUAAGGGUAAACAUAUUUCAUGCUGUGAUGUAAGCCCCUAUCUGCAGAAGUCAGGAGAGAUUCCCUGCCCUGUUGCUGAAUCGUGUGCUUGACAAAUUAUCCUCAGAAGCUUAUUUUAAGAGACUUUAUCUGGAGGUCUCACUGGGGCCCAAAUGUGAAAGGUGGAAGGACAUGCCUGGGGGCAGAGGAGGGGGACUCUUCUGUCCCUGCACAUCUGGAAGCUCAGAAAUGAAAGUGGCACGGGGCUAUAGUAUUUGGAAAAUCCUGGAGAGGAGCUGGGAUGGAAGCGAGUAACUGUGUGAUCCCUGGGCCUGAUUGAGGAAAUAUGCCAGGAAACAUGUGUUCCCAUUUCAGCCCAUCUUGGCCUUGGUCCAGCAGUCAUACCCACCCUAGACCUGCCUCUGCCCUUUAUUUUGUCAACAGCAGGUAGAUAAAGUGCUCUUGGUUUCCAGAGCUUCUCAUCACACUUCCUGGGAAGGAAGCCCUUACUGAGCUCUAGGAACUGGCUGGCUGUCUCCACCACACCUCUAGAGGACAAAGGCAGAGUCUUGAUAAUCUUUGUAUCCCUUAUGUGUAAAUUUUCUAUAUGUGCUAAAAAUGUUUACAGAAAUAAGAAAGAAAGCUGGAGCUCUGAGGGUGAACCUCUUUAAGAAAUACAGGAAUGUAACUUAAAUUUUGCAGAAUUAUCAUUCUAUAAUAUUUACUAUUUGGUGUUCUGCCAUUUUAAAAAUAAUUCUAAUUAAUCUGUAAGUAAUUAUUAUCCCACUUUACAGAUAUUGAAACUGAGGGUCCAGAGCCAAGAAAACACAGAUCUCAUGUAAUGAAGCCAGGACUCAAACCUACUACUGUUAGAUGUCCAACCCCACUUUGUCCAAGCUGAUGCUAGAGUCACGAUCCCAGGCCCUCCAUGUUCCUUUGGGGACUUCCCUGAGCCUAGGCCUGGGCCCCAUGUUUCCCAUUUGUAAAACUGGGGGAGGGAUGGACUAGGAUCCCACAGGCUGCUUGUCAGUGGGUGUCAGAAGUGCAGGAGAAGAAGGUGAGCAGCCCAGGACGCUGGGCUUUAAGGCUUGAGCAAUGUCAAGUGGGAGUCCCCAGUAAAUUGAGAUGUUGCCACACAGACUUGGGCAUGAGAAAAACUAACAGAGAGCCAGUCACUAUCACAAGGGCUUCAAGGGGCAAAUUCAACCCAGGUAUCAGAAGUCCAGUCUAAGACUGAUGAGUGACCAGGCUGGUGGGAGAGAAAACAGGUUGAUCCCCAAAGAUGUGUGUGGCCACAGUUGUGUGGAGAGUAAGGCCAGACACACAUGCACGCACAUGCGCACACCCACACGGGGAUACAGCCAUCAAGAGAGCAUCUGUGUGCAGCCAGAGAUACAAGCGACAGGAUAAGAUUCUUUUAUGGUGCAGGUAAUAUCACCCCGACUCUCAGGCUUCCCCUACGUAGGACUUGGCAGAAUGUCAUAUAAUUGCAACCAUUUAGCCCAUAGACACCAACCCAAGGAGCUGGACAAGUAUCUCCAAGGAACGCAGGAAGGAUCAGUUGCAGAUAUGACGAUGGGAGCUAGAAGAUACACCUGAGACCCAGAGCCUGUCUAGGGAGUAACCUGUCUGCUGUGCUGAUGAAACUCCUGCCCAGCGUGAAUGCCUGACCAAAGCUCAAGUGACUCACGAGCUGCUGUAUGUUUGAGGGACACUCAUCUGAAGGUCACUGAUCAGGUGCACAGAUUCUCCGCUCGAGCCCUCAAGGACCUACCAGACUGUGGGCUGGACCACGACCCCCAGACCGCGUCCUAAGAACCUUCUCGCCCGAAUGAUUAGCUGCUUCUUCCCAAGCGUCUGCUCACACCUUGAAACAGCCGCUGCGGAAGGCGCCUCCCCUAAGAUCCCUGGGACAGGAAAUAAAUAUUUUACUGUUACACAGCCUGAUUUAUUGCAGUAGUAGAAACAAACCAAGAACGUUACUUCUUAAAAGAUCUUUACAUUUUAUAUUUUUGUCUGUGCUUUUUUUUUUUUUUUGCGGUACGUGGGCCUCUCACUGUUGUGGCCUCUCGCGUUGUGGAGCACAGGCUCCGGACGUGCAGGCUCAGCAGCCAUGGCUCAUGGGCCUAGCCACUCCGCGGCAUGUGAGAUCUUCCCAGAACGGGGCACGAGCCUGUGUGCUUUUUAAUGUAUGCAAA